rnacentral:rRNA from 1 species
AGCGAACGCUGGCGGCAGGCCUAACACAUGCAAGUCGAACGAACCCUUCGGGGUUAGUGGCGGACGGGUGAGUAACACGUGGGAACGUGCCUUUAGGUUCGGAAUAACUCAGGGAAACUUGUGCUAAUACCGAAUGUGCCCUUCGGGGGAAAGAUUUAUCGCCUUUAGAGCGGCCCGCGUCUGAUUAGCUAGUUGGUGAGGUAAUGGCUCACCAAGGCUACGAUCAGUAGCUGGUCUAAGAGGAUGACCAGCCACAUUGGGACUGAGACACGGCCCAAACUCCUACGGGAGGCAGCAGUGGGGAAUCUUGCGCAAUGGGCGAAAGCCUGACGCAGCCAUGCCGCGUGAAUGAUGAAGGUCUUAGGAUUGUAAAAUUCUUUCACCGGGGACGAUAAUGACGGUACCCGGAGAAGAAGCCCCGGCUAACUUCGUGCCAGCAGCCGCCGUAAGAC